rnacentral:rRNA from 1 species
GAUGAACGCUGGCGGCGUGCCUAAAAAUGCAAAGCGAAGGGAAAAGACGAGGACUUGCUCCUUUGACGGUAGCGGCGGGCGGGGUGGUAAACAGGGGGUAAACUACCUAUAAGGAUGGGGAAAAUUCGGGGAAACGGGAGUAAAAACGGAAAAAAAUUCGGAACCGAAGGGUUGGUUGGUAAAGAUGGGUUUUCUAUCCAUUAUUAGAGGACCUGCGCCGUAUUAGCUAGUUGGUAAGGUAACGGCUUACCAAGGCAACGAUACGUAGCCGACCUGAGAGGGUGAUCGGCCACACUGGAACUGAGACACGGUCCAGACUCCUACGGGAGGCAGCAGUAGGGAAUCUUCCGCAAUGGGCGAAAGCCUGACGGAGCAACGCCGCGUGAGUGAUGAAGGUCUUCGGAUCGUAAAACUCUGUUAUUAGGGAAGAACAAACGUGUAAGUAACUGUGCACGUCUUGACGGUACCUAAUCAGAAAGCCACGGCUAACUACGUG